rnacentral:rRNA from 1 species
AUUACUCCUACGGGAGGCAGCAGUAAGGAAUAUUGGUCAAUGGACGCAAGUCUGAACCAGCCAUGCCGCGUGGAGGAUGAAGGUCCUCUGGAUUGUAAACUUCUUUUAUCUGGGAAGAAACCCAUGGUUUCUACUGUGGUUGACGGUACCAGAUGAAUAAGCACCGGCUAACUCCGUGCCAGCAGCCGCGGUAAUAAU